rnacentral:tRNA from 1 species
GGUUGAAUAGUGUAGGGGUUAUCACGUCAGAUUCUGAUUCUGGAUACCCCGGUUCGAUUCCGGGUUCGACCU